GGAAAGGCGCGCGAUACAGGGUGACAGCCCCGUACACAAAAAUGCACAUAUUGUGAGCUCGAUGAGUAGGGCGGGACACGUGGUAUCCUGUCUGAAUAUGGGGGGACCAUCCUCCAAGGCUAAAUACUCCUGACUGACCGAUAGUGAACCAGUACCGUGAGGGAAAGGCGAAAAGAACCCCGGCGAGGGGAGUGAAAAAGAACCUGAAACCGUGUACGUACAAGCAGUGGGAGCACGCUUAGGCGUGUGACUGCGUACCUUUUGUAUAAUGGGUCAGCGACUUAUAUUCUGUAGCAAGGUUAACCGAAUAGGGGAGCCGAAGGGAAACCGAGUCUUAACUGGGCGUUAAGUUGCAGGGUAUAGACCCGAAACCCGGUGAUCUAGCCAUGGGCAGGUUGAAGGUUGGGUAACACUAACUGGAGGACCGAACCGACUAAUGUUGAAAAAUUAGCGGAUGACUUGUGGCUGGGGGUGAAAGGCCAAUCAAACCGGGAGAUAGCUGGUUCUCCCCGAAAGCUAUUUAGGUAGCGCCUCGUGAAUUCAUCUCCGGGGGUAGAGCACUGUUUCGGCAAGGGGGUCAUCCCGACUUACCAACCCGAUGCAAACUGCGAAUACCGGAGAAUGUUAUCACGGGAGACACACGGCGGGUGCUAACGUCCGUCGUGAAGAGGGAAACAACCCAGACCGCCAGCUAAGGUCCCAAAGUCAUGGUUAAGUGGGAAACGAUGUGGGAAGGCCCAGACAGCCAGGAUGUUGGCUUAGAAGCAGCCAUCAUUUAAAGAAAGCGUAAUAGCUCACUGGUCGAGUCGGCCUGCGC
rnacentral:rRNA from 1 species